CCCUUAGAUGUUCUGGGCCGCACGCGCGCUACACUGACGGCUUCAACGAGUUGCUUUGUCCUUGCCCGAGAGGGUAUGGGUAAUCUUGUGAAAGGUUGUCGUGCUGGGGAUUGAUUACUGCAAUAAGAAUCAUCAACGAGGAAUGCCUAGUAAGUGCGAGUCAUCAGCUCGCGCUGAUUACGUCCCUGCCCUUUGUACACACCGCCCGUCGCUCCUACCGAUUGGAUGAUCAGGUGAAAUCCUCGGACUGGCUGAUUUAGGUUUUCGGACCUUUUUUAGGCGGGAAGUUGAUUAAAUCUUAUCAUCUAGAGGAAGGAGAAGUCGUAACA
rnacentral:rRNA from 1 species